CCUACGGGGGGCAGCAGUGGGGAAUAUUGGACAAUGGGCGAAAGCCUGAUCCAGCAAUACCGCGUGUGUGAAGAAGGCCUGAGGGUUGUAAAGCACUUUCAAUUGGGAGGAAUACCUAUCCCUUAAUACGGGGUAGACUGACAUUACCUUUAGAAGAAGCACCGGCUAACUCCGUGCCAGCAGCCGCGGUAAUACGGAGGGUGCGAGCGUUAAUCGGAAUUACUGGGCGUAAAGCGUGCGUAGGUGGCUUGUUAAGUCAGAUGUGAAAGCCCUGGGCUCAACCUGGGAACUGCAUUUGAAACUGGCGAGCUAGAGUUUGAGAGAGGUAAGUGGAAUUUCAGGUGUAGCGGUGAAAUGCGUAGAGAUCUGAAGGAACACCAGUGGCGAAGGCGACUCCCUGGCUUAAAACUGACGCUGAGGUACGAAAGCGUGGGUAGCAAACAGGAUUAGAUACCCCGGUAGU
rnacentral:rRNA from 1 species